AGGAUUGGUCCUACACAGAGCAUUACCUGGGCUGUGUGACAGUGUUCUGUCCAAGCUGAGUGGUGGCGCCAUAUCCAGCUCUCUCAAUACAUCAAUGCUACAACCCCAUACACACCACUUGAGCCCUGCCAAACUACGGCUGCUGAGGCCUCUGUCCUGGCAGCCUUGGAAAAUGUCAGGCCGUGGACUGGCAGAGGAUGAAGGAC